rnacentral:rRNA from 1 species
GACGAACGCUGGCGGCGUGCUUAACACAUGCAAGUCGAACGGAAAGGCCCUGCUUUUGUGGGGUGCUCGAGUGGCGAACGGGUGAGUAACACGUGAGUAACCUGCCCUUGACUUUGGGAUAACUUCAGGAAACUGGGGCUAAUACCGGAUAGGAGCUCCUGCUGCAUGGUGGGGGUUGAAAAGUUUCGGCGGUUGGGGAUGGACUCGCGGCUUAUCAGCUUGUUGGUGGGGUAGUGGCUUACCAAGGUUUUGACGGGUAGCCGGCCUGAGAGGGUGACCGGCCACAUUGGGACUGCGAUACGGCCCAGACUCCUACGGGAGGCAGCAGUGGGGAAUAUUGCACAAUGGGCGGAAGCCUGAUGCAGCAACGCCGCGUGCGGGAUGACGGCCUUCGGGUUGUAAACCGCUUUCGCCUGUGACGAAGCGUGAGUGACGGUAAUGGGUAAAGAAGCACCGGCUAACUACGUG